rnacentral:tRNA from 1 species
GGGGAUAUAGCUCAAUUGGUAGAGCACUGCUUUUGCACAGCAGGGGUCUGGGGUUCGAAUCCCCAUAUCUCCA